rnacentral:rRNA from 1 species
UGCAAGUCGAACGAAGUAGUAAUACUUAGUGGCAGACGGGUGAGUAACAUGUAGGUAUCUUCCCUUUGGUGAGGAAUAACACGAGGAAACUUGUGCUAAUACCUCAUAAGUCUUUACAGAGAAAGCUUUAUGCGCCAGAGGAUGAGCCUGCACUUGAUUAGUUUGUUGGUGGGGUAAAAGCCUACCAAGACUGUGAUCAAUAGCUGAUCUGAGAGGAUGAUCAGCCACAUUGGGACUGAGACACGGCCCAAACUCCUACGGGAGGCAGCAGUAGGGAAUAUUGCACAAUGGAGGAAACUCUGAUGCAGCGAUGCCGCGUGAGUGAAGAAGGCCCUUGGGUUGUAAAGCUCUUUCGUCGGGGAAGAAAAUGACUGUACCCGAAUAAGAAGGUCCGG